CGACGCGUGAAAGCGAGUCCGACGCGAAUAAGGAACGAAAGUCCAGUCGGCUCGUAGAUUCGAGUAGCGCUCGUUCGAUGCAUUUCCGGUGGGUAAGCGCCGUGACCGAUGCGAAUAUCCGGCUAGCGAAGCCGUCGGAUUGAGGUCGAGUUCGUUCGCGAGUCUCGUAACCAGUCCUUCGGUCGAAUAGAAAUCGUUAGACCGUAGCAUCGAGAGAGAAUAUAAUUCGAACGUCGGCGAUUCUGUCGCGCUCGCCUAUUACGAUGGACGUACGUUCGGCCGAUCGUCGCCUGCUCGCAGGUUUCGGUCGCGUCCGGCGCGUAUCCGAAAUCGUCGGCGACGUUUUACGACGUUCGGGUGUCCACGGCGUCCGAGUCGGUCGCCCGUCCGACCCGUCUUGAAACACGGACCAAGGAGUCUAACGUAAGCGCGAGCUAAUGGGCGGAAAACCCAUAAGCGCAAUAAAAGUAAAAGUCGUUUCGGACGGCUUAGGUACGAAUCCCCGCAGGGCGAAUAAUCCUCGGGCGCAGUACCGUCCCGUCCCGACCGCUCGUCGGUAGGGCGGAGAUAGAGUGCAUACGUUGGGGA
rnacentral:rRNA from 1 species